GACCGAAAGGGAAUCGGGUCAAUAUUCCCGAACCUGGACACGGAGAUCGGGCCCUCGGGUCCCAGUGCGGCGACGCAACCGAACUCGGAGAAGUCGACGGCAGUCCCGGGAAGAGUUGUCUUUUCUUUGUAAGGGUCUGGGUCCCUGGAAUCGGCUCGUCCGGAGAUAGGGAUGCUGCUCCCGUAAAGCACCGCGGCUCUUGCGGUGUCCGGAGCGCUGCCGUCGGCCCUUGAAAAUCCGAGGGAGGAAGUGUGAUUUUCGUGCCAGACCGUACCCAUAUCCGCAGCAGGUCUC
rnacentral:rRNA from 1 species